rnacentral:rRNA from 1 species
AGCGAACGCUGGCGGCAGGCUUAACACAUGCAAGUCGAACGGGCACUUCAGUGCUAGUGGCAGACGGGUGAGUAACACGUGGGAACGUACCUUUUGGUUCGGAAUAAUUCAGGGAAACUUGGACUAAUACCGGAUACGCCCUUUGGGGGAAAGAUUUAUCGCCGAAAGAUCGGCCCGCGUCUGAUUAGCUAGUUGGUGAGGUAAUGGUUCACCAAGGCGACGAUCAGUAGCUGGUCUGAGAGGAUGAUCAGCCACACUGGGACUGAGACACGGCCCAGACUCCUACGGGAGGCAGCAGUGGGGAAUAUUGGACAAUGGGCGCAAGCCUGAUCCAGCCAUGCCGCGUGUGUGAUGAAGGCCUUAGGGUUGUAAAGCACUUUUGUCCGGGAAGAUAAUGACUGUACCGGAAGAAUAAGCCCCGGCUAACUUCGUGCCAGCCGCCGCGGUAACAC